CCUACGGGAGGCAGCAGUGAGGAAUAUUGGUCAAUGGACGAGAGUCUGAACCAGCCAAGUAGCGUGAAGGAUGACUGCCCUAUGGGUUGUAAACUUCUUUUAUAUGGGAAUAAAAUGUUCCACGUGUGGGAUUUUGUAUGUACCAUAUGAAUAAGGUUCGUCUAACUCCGUGCCAGCAGCCGCGGUAAUCCGGAGGAUCCGAGCGUUAUCCGGAUUUAUUGGGUUUAAAGGGAGCGUAGGUGGAUUUUUAAGUCAGUUGUGAAAGUUUGCGGCUCAACCGUAAAAUUGCAGUUGAAACUGGCAGUCUGGAGUACAGUAGAGGUGGGCGGAAUUCGUGGUGUAGCGGUGAAAUGCUUAGAUAUCACGAAGAACUCCGAUUGCGAAGGCAGCUCACUGGACUGCAACUGACACUGAGGCUCGAAAGUGUGGGUAUCAAACAGGAUUAGAUACCCGGGUAGUC
rnacentral:rRNA from 1 species